rnacentral:rRNA from 1 species
UACGAAGGGGGCUAGCGUUGUUCGGAUUUACUGGGCGUAAAGCGCACGUAGGCGGAUUUUUAAGUCAGGGGUGAAAUCCCGAGGCUCAACCUCGGAAUUGCCUUUGAUACUGGAAGUCUUGAGUUCGGAAGAGGUGAGUGGAAUUGUGAGUGUAGAGGUGAAAUUCGUAGAUAUUCACAAGAACACCGGUGGCGAAGGCGGCUCACUGGUCCGAUACUGACGCUGAGGUGCGAAAGCGUGGGGAGCAAACAGG